rnacentral:rRNA from 1 species
GACGAACGCUGGCGGCGUGCCUAACACAUGCAAGUCGAACGGAGAUCCUUGGAGUGAGACUUCGGUCAAAUGAAUUGGAUCUUAGUGGCGAACGGGUGAGUAACGCGUGAGCAACCUGCCUUUCAGAGGGGGACAACAGUUGGAAACGACUGCUAAUACCGCAUAAUGUUUUCGAGGGGCAUCCCUUGAAAACCAAAGCUUUAUGUGCUGGAAGAUGGUCUCGCGUCUGAUUAGCUAGUUGGUGAGGUAACGGCUCACCAAGGCGACGAUCAGUAGCCGGUCUGAGAGGAUGAACGGCCACAUUGGGACUGAGAUACGGCCCAG